CGGAGGGUGCAAGCGUUAUCCGGAUUUACUGGGUUUAAAGGGUGUGUAGGCGGGCCUUUAAGUCAGUGGUGAAAUCUCCGGGCUCAACCUGGAAACUGCCAUUGAUACUAUUGGUCUUGAAUUCUGUUGAGGUGGGCGGAAUAUGUCAUGUAGCGGUGAAAUGCAUAGAUAUGACAUAGAACACCAAUUGCGAAGGCAGCUCACUAAGCAGACAUUGACGCUGAGGCACGAAAGCGUGGGGAUCAAACAGGAUUAGAUACCCUGGUAGUCCACGCCCUAAACGAUGAUUACUCGACAUACGCGAAACACUGUGUGUGUCUGAGCGAAAGCAUUAAGUAAUCCACCUGGGAAGUACGACCGCAAGGUUG
rnacentral:rRNA from 1 species